rnacentral:rRNA from 1 species
UACGGAGGGUGCAAGCGUUAAUCGGAUUUACUGGGCGUAAAGCGUGCGUAGGUGGUUUGUUAAGUCAGUUGUGAAAUCCCAGGGCUCAACCUUGGAAUUGCAUCUGAUACUGGCAGACUAGAGAUCGGUAGAGGUUAGUGGAAUUCCAGGUGUAGCGGUGAAAUGCGUAGAUAUCUGGGGAAGAACAUGGAGCGAAGGCAACUGACUGGGCCUGAUCUGACACUGAGGUACGAAAGCGUGGGGAGCAAACAGGAUUAGAUACCCGUGUAGUCC